rnacentral:rRNA from 1 species
CGGUAAUACGGAAGGUCCGGGCGUUAUCCGGAUUUAUUGGGUUUAAAGGGAGCGUAGGCCGCGCCUUAAGCGUGUUGUGAAAUCCGGGUGCUCAACAUCCGGCUUGCAGCGCGAACUGGGGCGCUUGAGUGCGCAGAAAGUAGGCGGAAUUCGUGGUGUAGCGGUGAAAUGCUUAGAUAUCACGAGGAACUCCGAUUGCGAAGGCAGCCUACUGUAGCGCUACUGACGCUGAUGCUCGAAAGCGUGGGUAUCGAACAGGAUUAGAUACCCUGGUAGUCCACGCGGUAAACGAUGGAUGCUCGUUGUCGGCCCUUCGGGUCGGUGACCAAGCGAAAGCGUUAAGCAUCCCACCUGGGGAGUACGCCGGCAACGGUGAAAUUCAAAGGAAUUGACGGGGGCCCGCUCAAG